rnacentral:rRNA from 1 species
AUGUCUUUGGCGUCAUCUGGCUAUGUUGCCAUCCCGCGCUGCCCAGUGAUAUUUGAUGGGGCUAACUAUGCUGAGUUCGUUGCCUUUAUGCGCAUUCACAUGCGUGACAUUCGUCUCUGGGGUGUUCUUUUCGGUGAGGUCCCCUGUCCUCCGCGCCCAGUGCCUCCUGUGGCUCCUACCCCACCGCCGACACCACCGGCUAUUGACGCAGAUGCUUCUGAUGCUGAUAGGGCUGCAGCCAGGGUUGCUGCUGAUGAUGCGGAUGCCGCUUAUGACCAGGAGGUCUUGGAUUAUUCAAAUGCUCUUUCUGUUUAUCGUGACGAUCUGGCUGCUUACACUCAGUGGUGUGAUGAUGAUGCUCGUGCUGCGACUGUUCUCACUUCCAGUGUUUUGCCUCAGUUUGCUUCUGAAUUUAUAGGCCUCAGUACUGUCUUUGAGAUGUGGACUCAUCUUCGUCAGCGCUAUCAGCCCUCUGGUGAUGCUCUCUACUUGUCUGUGGUCCGUCAGGAGCAUGCUCUUCAGCAGGAAGACUCCACUAUUGAUGAGUUCUACACUCAGAGUUCUGCUAUAUGGCGCCAGCUUGACUCCCUUCGCACUAUUGUUUGUGGCACUUGCCCGUGUUGCCAGACUGUGAGGUCAGACUUGGAGUUUCAGCGCGUCUAUGAGUUCUUGUCACGGCUCCGUGGGGAGUUUGAGCCUCGACGUGCUCAGUUGUUUGCCCGUGGCCGGGUUCCUAUUUCUGAGGUGCUUUCUGAGCUUCGUGCUGAGGAGACUCACCUCCGUGGUGCUGGUUUGCUUCAGGUUCCCUCUGUGCUCUCUGCUUGA